AGUGGGGAAAGAGACGUUGAUGUUAUUGUUUGGGUGUGGGGAACAGACAAUUGAGAAAGAUUUGCAACCAAUGGUGACAAAGUCAAUUAAACCUUAUUAACGCAAAAUAUCAGUACAAUUAUUAUAAUUCUGAAACCACCAAGAGAAAUUAAAUUAAAGAUCAGAAAAUGUACAAAAUUUACAUUCUCAUGUUUCUCCAUUUUCUUCUUCACACUCCCAUCAUCAAAACAUCAUUAAUUCUCCCUCCAACGGACCCUUCUACUCUUUACCCAUACCUAAUUAUCUAACUUCACUCCUUCAACAUUAUUAUAUUACCUCUACCUCUACAGUUUUUUACCACCUCUUGAUGCAAGCCACGUGUCCUUUUAGCUGUGUGAAUCAGAAUCGUAUAUCAGAUUCUGAAUUGUCUGCAUGAACCACCGAAACCAGACUCGU
rnacentral:lncRNA from 1 species